GCCUGUGCUAUUCAUAAUAAUAAUAAUGUCAGAAUAUGAGUUAAUCAGAUUACUCACUUCUGAGUAAAUAAAAUGAUUUACACGGAAAGCCCAAGUGGUUUCCUGGCAAAAAACAGGCCAUCAGUUUACACUACAAGUGACUAUCUCCUAAAGCAGCUUGUGCAUGUGGGAGCAGCCAGCUAUUGUUUUGCUGAUUCCAAGCAAACUGCAGUCAAGGCAGGCCAGCUUCAUCAGUUGUUUGGAAAGGAUUGUGCCACUUUAAGAACACCAAGUGGGAGGCAACACAAGUACCACUGAACAAACAAGUACCUGUGUACACUGCUGUGCUCACCUGAGCCUCACACAGGCGAGGGGACGCUGCCCUCACCCUCCCUCGUUCAUUCUGCAGAUUGAACACCUCUAACACCCGCUCUUGCUGCCUGAGGGUGGAGGAUGGACACCCAAACGAAGCAACAUGAUUUUUUGUGCAAGACACCUUGAGGACACUGAGAAGCCUCGGACUCUUGAAAUGGAGGAAAUAACGGUGGAAACAGUCCUGGCCCCGUGGCAAAUCCUGCUGGUGAUCCUCGCCGCAGUGCUGACCAUGAGUCUCCUCAUGCUCCUGCCCCCCGCUGCCGUGGUGCUCUGGAGGAUGAAGCGUGUGCCGCAGAUCUCCCUGCACGGCUCGGUGUGAGCCAGCCCUGCCAACAGCUGCCACACCACCCAUCCCUGCAGAGGAUGGUUCGGAACGAUCACAUCUCUCAGGAUCGCUCUUUCUGCCCAAGAUCCACCCAAAAGCAGCGGGUUUACCCAUCUAUUGCUGCUUAGUUCCUGUGAGUAGAGAAUGGGUGUAAUUUUGUCGUCGUGAACUACAGUUUUGAGCACUUUGACUUUCAUUUUUUGGCUAUAUUUUAAUUACUGUUAUUGGCUCAGUUCCUAGACUGAGUUCUUCUCUUGUGUUAUAAUGGCCUGAAGGAGAAGCAAGCAUAAUGCAGCAUUGUAUUUCCUUAAUUAAUAUCAGGAAAGCUGCCCUGUUUAUAGUUACACUGUAAAUAUUACCAAAGCCUUCUAGCUGAGAUGACUGACAGUUAUGCAAGUGAACUUAUCAAAAGCAUGCAGGACACUCUAGGGAGGUAGUACUUUAGCCUGGUUGUAUUGCAGAACCUAAAAAAAUAAAUAAUCAGAGAAUGGUGCAAUAAAUAA